rnacentral:rRNA from 1 species
AGCGAACGCUGGCGGCAGGCCUAAAACAUGCAAGUCGAACGCCGUAGCAAUACGGAGUGGCAGACGGGUGAGUAACACGUGGGAACAUACCCUUUGGUUCGGAACAACACAGGGAAACUUGUGCUAAUACCGGAUAAGCCCUUACGGGGAAAGAUUUAUCGCCGAAGGAUUGGCCCGCGUCUGAUUAGCUAGUUGGUGGGGUAACGGCCCACCAAGGCUACGAUCAGUAGCUGGUCUGAGAGGAUGAUCAGCCACACUGGGACUGAGACACGGCCCAGACUCCUACGGGAGGCAGCAGUUAGGAAUCUUGGACAAUGGGCGCAAGCCUGAUCCAGCCAUGCCGCGUGAGUGAUGAAGGCCUUAGGGUUGUAAAGCUCUUUCAGCGGGGAAGAUAAUGACGGUACCCGCAGAAGAA